rnacentral:misc_RNA from 1 species
AACACUGUUAACCUGCGGUACCUGCGGAGGGAUCAUUAACAAGCUGUGGGAGAUCAAUUUGAUCUCACACCUGGCCAACCUUGUUAACCUUAAAUAUAUUGCUUUGGUGAGCCCUGCUCACCAAAGUCAAACCCUAAACUCUUGAUUGUUUCUGCUGUCUGAGCAUGCAAGUGCAAAAUUUAGUUAAAAACUUUCAACAACGGAUCU